rnacentral:rRNA from 1 species
AGGACGAACGCUGGCGGCGUGCUUAACACAUGCAAGUCGAACGAGGCGCUUGCGCCUAGUGGCGAACGGGUGAGUAACACGUGAGCAACCUGCCCUUGGCUCUGGGAUAGCCUCCGGAAACGGGGAUUAAUACCAGAUACGACCACUUUAGACAUCUGUCGUGGUGGAAAGGAUUCCGGCUAGGGAUGGGCUCGCGGCCUAUCAGCUUGUGGUGGGUAACGGCCUACCAAGGCGACGACGGGUA